AUGCAAGUCGAACGAGAAAGUGGAGCAAUCCAUGAGUACAGUGGCGUACGGGUGAGUAACACGUGACUAACCUACCCUCGAGUGGGGAAUAACUUCGGGAAACCGAGGCUAAUACCGCAUAAUGUCUACGGACCAAAUGCGCAAGCAGCUUGAGGAGGGGGUCGCGGCUGAUUAGCUUGUUGGCGGGGUAACGGCCCACCAAGGCAAUGAUCAGUAGCCGGCCUGAGAGGGCGCACGGCCACACUGGAACUGAAACACGGUCCAGACUCCUACGGGAGGCAGCAGUGGGGAAUUUUGCGCAAUGGGGGAAACCCUGACGCAGCAACGCCGCGUGGAGGAUGAAGCCCCUUGGGGUGUAAACUCCUUUCGAUCGGGACGAUUAUGACGGUACCGGAUGAAGAAGCACCGGCUAACUCUGUGCCAGCAGCCGCGGUAAUACAGAGGGUGCAAGCGUUGUUCGGAAUUAUUGGGCGUAAAGGGUGCGU
rnacentral:rRNA from 1 species